rnacentral:rRNA from 2 species
UGCAAGUCGAGCGGACAGAUGGGAGCUUGCUCCCUGAUGUUAGCGGCGGACGGGUGAGUAACACGUGGGUAACCUGCCUGUAAGACUGGGAUAACUCCGGGAAACCGGGGCUAAUACCGGAUGCUUGAUUGAACCGCAGGUUCAAUUAUAAAAGGUGGCUUUUAGCUACCACUUACAGAUGGACCCGCGGCGCAUUAGCUAGUUGGUGAGGUAACGGCUCACCAAGGCAACAAUGCGUAGCCAACCUGAGAGGGUGAUCGGCCACACUGGGACUGAGACACGGCCCAAACUCCUACGGGAGGCAGCAGUAGGGAAUCUUCCGCAAUGGACGAAAGUCUGACGGAGCAACGCCCCGGGAGUGAUGAAGGUUUUCGGAUCGUAAAACUCUGUUGUUAGGGAAGAACAAGUACCGUUCGAAUAGGGCGGUACCUUGACGGUACCUAACCAGAAAGCCACGGCUAACUACGUGCCAGCAGCCGCGGUAAUACGUAGGUGGCAAGCGUUGUCCGGAAUUAUGGGGCGUAAAGCGCGCGCAGGCGGUUUCUUAAGUCUGAUGUGAAAGCCCCCGGCUCAACCGGGGAGGGUCAUUGGAAACUGGGGAACUUGAGUGCA